GAUGAACGCUGGCGGCGUGCCUAACACAUGCAAGUCGAGCGAUCUUCUUCGGAAGGGAGCGGCGGACGGGUGAGUAGCGCGUGGGUAACCUGCCCUGUACACACGGAUAACAUACCGAAAGGUAUGCUAAUACGGGAUAACAUAAGAAAGUCGCAUGGCUUUCUUAUCAAAGCUUUUGCGGUACAGGAUGGACCCGCGUCUGAUUAGCUAGUUGGUAAGGUAACGGCUUACCAAGGCGACGAUCAGUAGCCGACCUGAGAGGGUGAUCGGCCACAUUGGAACUGAGACACGGUCCAAACUCCUACGGGAGGCAGCAGUGGGGAAUAUUGCACAAUGGGCGAAAGCCUGAUGCAGCAACGCCGCGUGAGCGAUGAAGGCCUUCGGGUCGUAAAGCUUUGUCCUCAAGGAAGAUAAUGACGGUACUUGAGGAGGAAGCCCCGGCUAACUACGUGCCAGCAGCCGCGGUAAUACGUAGGGGGCUAGCGUUAUCCGGAAUUACUGGGCGUAAAGGGUGCGUAGGCGGUCUUUCAAGUCAGAAGUGAAAGGCUACGGCUCAACCGUAGUAAGCUUUUGAAACUGUAAGACUUGAGUGCAGGAGAGGAGAGUGGAAUUCCUAGUGUAGCGGUGAAAUGCGUAGAUAUUAGGAGGAACACCAGUUGCGAAGGCGGCUCUCUGGACUGUAACUGACGCUGAGGCACGAAAGCGUGGGGAG
rnacentral:rRNA from 1 species